rnacentral:rRNA from 1 species
GACGAACGCUGGCGGCGUGCCUAAUACAUGCAAGUCGAACGCAGUGGGGACGGGUGAGUAACACGUGGGUAACCUCCCAUCAGAGGGGAUAACACUUGGAAACAGGUGCUAAACCGAUACUGAUUGAUGGACCCGCGGUGCAUUAGCUAGUUGGGGGGGUAAAGGCUCACCAAGGCCACGAGGCAUAGCCGACCGGUGAGGAUGAUCGGCCACACGGGGACUGAGACACGGCCCAGACUCCUACGGGAGGCAGCAGUGGGGAAUCUUCGGCAAUGGACGAAAGUCUGACCGAGCCACGCCGCGUGAGUGAAGAAGGUUUUCGGAUCGUAAAACUCUGUUGUUAGAGAAGCGGUAUCUAACCAGAAAGCCACGGCUAACUACGUGCCAGCAGCCGCGGUAAUUC